GGCCCAGACUCCUACGGGAGGCAGCAGUAGGGAAUAUUGCACAAUGGGGGGAACCCUGAUGCAGCGACGCCGCGUGGGCGAGGAAGUAUUUCGGUAUGUAAAGCCCUAUCGGCAGGGAAGAAGAAAUGACGGUACCUGAAUAAGAAGCACCGGCUAAAUACGUGCCAGCAGCCGCGGGAAUACGUAGGUGGCAAGCGUUAUCCGGAUUUACUGGGUGUAAAGGGCGUGUAGGCGGGACUGCAAGUCAGAUGUGAAAACCAUGGGCUCAACCUGUGGUCUGCAUUUGAAACUGUAGUUCUUGAGUACUGGAGAGGCAGACGGAAUUCCUAGUGUAGCGGUGAAAUGCGUAGAUAUUAGGAGGAACACCAGUGGCGAAGGCGGUCUGCUGGACAGCAACUGACGCUGAGGCGCGAAAGCGUGGGGAGCAAACAGGAUUAGAUACCCGGGUAUC
rnacentral:rRNA from 1 species